AUCGUUAGUGUACAUUUCUGCGGGAGCAUCUAUCCAGUCUACAGGUGUAUCCAGCAGCUCCAGAGAGACAGCGACCAGCGAGAAGGGGCCAUGAUGAUGGUGGUGGUUUUGUCAAAACGAAAAGGGGGAUAUGUAGGGAAAAGAAAGAGAGAUCAGACUGUUACUGUGUCUACAUAGAAAGGGAAGACAUAAGAGACUCCAUUUUGAAAAAGACCUGUACUUCAAACAAUUGCUUUGCUGAGAUGUUGUUCAUUUGUAGCUUUGCCCCAGCCACUUUGCCCCAACCACUUUGACCCAAUCUGGAGCUCACAAAAACAUGUGUUGUAUGAAAUCAAGGUUUAAGGCAAGCAGGGCUGUGCAGGACGUGCCUUGUUAACCAAAUGUUUGCAAGCAGUGUACUUAGUAAAAGUCAUCACCAUUCUCUUGUCUCAAUAAACCAGGGGCACAAUGCACUGUGGAGAGCUGCAGGGACCUCUGCCCUUGAAAGCUGGGUAUUGUUCAAAGUUUCUCCCCAUGUGAUAGUCUGAUAUAAGGCCUCGUGGGAUGAGAAAGACCUGACGGUCCCCCAGCCCGACACCCAUAAAAGGUCUGUGCUGAGGUGGAUUAGUCAAAGAGGAAAGACUCUUGCAGUUGAGAUAGAGGAAGUCCACUGUCUCCUGCCUGCCCCUGGGAACUGAAUGUCUCGGUAUAAAACACGAUUGUACCUUUGUUCAAUUCUGAGAUGGGAGAAAAACCGCCCUAUGGUGGGAGGGGAGACAUGUUUACAGCAAUGCUGCCUUGUUAUUCUUUACUCCACUGAGAUGUUUGGGUGGAGAGAAACAUAAAUCUGGCUUACAUGCACGUUCAGUCAUAGUACCUUCCCUUGAACUUCAUUAUGACAUAGAUUCUAUUGCUCACAUGUUUGUUGCUGACCUUCUCCUUACUAUCACCCUGCCCUCCUACUACAUUCCUUUUUGCUCAAAUAAUGAAGAUAAUAUUCAAUAAAAACUGAGGGAACUCAGAGACCCGUGCCAGUGCAGGUCCGUGGUAUGCUAAGCGCUGGUAACCUGGCCUCACUGUUGUUUCGCU
rnacentral:lncRNA from 1 species